UCCCCUCCGGGGCCCGCCCGCUCUCGGGGAGCGGGCCGGGGCCGCCGCUGCACGACCGUCCCACUUACUUCCUUCCUUCCCCCGCCCGCCGCUGCACGGCGGUCCCCUUUCCUUCCUUCCUUCCUUCCCCCGGCGCUAGGCCGCGGCGUCCGGGCAAUGGGCGGGAAGGCGGCCACACCACACACGUGGCAAAGAACAGCAGUAGCACACAGGCCUUCCGCCUCCCCCGGCCCACCUCCUCGUCGCAGUCAUCUCGGAAACGGUGAUGCGAGCUGCAGUCAGCAACCCUCUAAAACAACAACAAACAAUACGGUGUCAACAGCCACAAGAUCAAGCAAAGUAGCUUUAAUCCUGGGAUUCGCAGAGUUUUACUUCAAAUACACCUUUAAUGCAUGUACAGGCACUUCAGAGAGGAACACAGCUGUUCUGAUUUCCCAGAAGAGGCAUGAGAUGUUGCCCCAUAAAGCUCCACUGCAGGGGGAGCAGGAACCAUGAUUCUGGGGCCAGAAGGACACCAGCUCCCAGCCUUCCUCGUAGUAGGAGUCCUGCUUUCUCACCCAACAGACUCUGCCUGUACCUCCUAGAGUGCAGCUUUUGGGGGUUUCAGGCUUUUGCACCUGCAGGGUCCUGCAGACAGUCUAGCUGAUCUUUGUCAUCGAUGAUACUGUGAAGCCAUUGUCUUCCUCCCACAGCCCUGCUCCUUGGCAACACAGACCCCUCCAGGCACCUGCCCACCUUGCUCCUGUGGGCAAAAGCCCAUCUCCCCAGCCCUGGGGAGAGGUCCCCUGCAGAGCUGCACUUGGGCUGAGGCUGCUGCUGUCAGAGGGACAGCUGCUGGGAUCUGUGCCCUGUGGCACAUCCUCGCCGUGGCAGAGCACAUGUCUGCUGUUCGCAGCAAGGUCUCUGGCUCUGUCCUGCACUAACUGCUGUUAUGAGGAGCAGUGCUUUCGGCCAGCCAGUGCUUGCACAGGGCUGCCCAUACUUGCUGGAAAUAUGUGUCCACUUUGGCCACGAACCAGCUGAACAGGAGCUCAGAGCCCCCUUUCUUCAGCAACAGCCCAGACCUGUCUCAGGUUGCAGUAUCCUCACAUGCAGCAGUGCACUGGUGCUCUUCCACCAAGCCCAGGAGAAACUCUCAGAACAUGUAGAAGAUUUUAAAGCAGAGCCCAAUGGCUGUGCCUGUUGGCUGCCUGUGACAGAUGUGCAAUUCCUCAAACAUGUUUCUCCAGCAGUCUGAGUCUGCCUUCAGUGUUGGCAAUUGUCCAUUAAAGAAUUUUAAAA